AUACCAUGUCUUCAUGUGUAGUAUUUGUUCUUAUCAGUUUAAUAUCUGAUAUGCUCUCUAUCUGAAAACUUUAUUUUAUAUAGAGGCAAUAUGACAUUUU
rnacentral:snRNA from 1 species